AUACUCACUUCAGCAGCAGCUAUAAUAAAAUUGGAACGAUACAGAGAAGAGUAGCAUGGUCCCUAAAUAAGGAUGACACGCAAAUUCAUGCAGUGUUUGACACUUUU
ensembl:snRNA U6 U6 spliceosomal RNA